rnacentral:tRNA from 1 species
GUGAAGGUUGCUCAGUGGUAGAGUGCUUGCCUUGCAUGCAUGAGGCCCUGGGUUCAAUUCCUCAGCACCACA